rnacentral:lncRNA from 1 species
UUUUUUUUCUUCUUUAUAAUUUUAAAACCUCAAACUUCUUUUUUUGUGCACAUUCUUUUAUUUUUAUUUGUAUUUUUUAUUAAUUUUUAUUUUAUUUUUCAUCUUUCAUAUUUUAUAUCUUUUUCCUUUAUUUGUUAUAUAUAUAUUUUUUGUUUUUCUUUGUACGUUCUAAACUAAAAGUUUUUUUCCAUUUUGUUUUUGAAAUUUUUAUUCAUUUUGUCUUUUUAUAUUUUUUUGAUUCGUAAAUUUUUUAUUUUCUUGCUUUGUUACUUUUUGUUUUUGUUUAUUUUUAUUUUUUCCUUUUUUCGUAUUUUAUUUAAUUUUUCUUUUAUAUUAAUAUUUUCUCUUAAUUUAUUUUUUCAUUUAUUUUUUAUUUAUAAUUUAAAAAAAUUUUAUAAAGUUCAAAAUUUUUUAUUUUUUCAUUUUCUUAUUUUUUUGUCUAUUUUUUUUGCUACUUUUUGUUCUAUUUUAUAAAUUUUCAAUAACUUUUUCCCUUCAAAAUUUUCUUUCUUUUUGCCUUUUUUUCAUAUGCUUUCAUUUUUAUUUGUUUUAAUUCUUUCAAUGUUUUAAAAUUAUUUAUAUUUCUUUACGCUUUUUUUUUUCACAAAUUUCCCUUCACUUCUUAUUUGUUUUUUUAAAUUCUCAUAAUUUUUUUUUUUUGCAUUUUCUCCUUUGGUUUUCAUUUUUACUUUGAAUUAACUUUUCUCUUUUUUAAUUUUUUGCCUUUGACUUUUUAUAUUAUUUUCUCAUUAUGUCUUAUAUGUUUUUCAAUUUUUUGUAUUUUUUGAACUAUUUUUUUUUUCAUUUUGUCAUUCCAUUUCAUUUUUGAAGUUUUUAUUCAAUUUUUGUCUUUUUUAUUUUCUUACUUUUUAUAUUUUUAUUUUAUUUUUUUAUUUUAUCAUUGUUGGUUCUUUUCUAUUGCAUUUUUAUAAUUUUUCUUCAACUUUUUCUCCUUUCAAAUUUUUCUUCUUUUUUUUACUUAUUUUUUCAUGUGCUUUCAUAUUUUUUUGUUUUCACUUUUUUCUUUGUUUCAAAAUAUUCUAUAAACUUUUUUUCUUUUUGUUUUAUCUCAUAAUUUUGACUCUUCAUUUUUUUAUUUUUUUCUUGUUUUAACUUUUUUUUGCCCUUCCUUGUCUUAUUUUUAUUUUGUAUUAAAUUUUUCCCUUCGUUAAUUU